rnacentral:rRNA from 1 species
AACGAACGCUGGCGGCAGGCUUAACACAUGCAAGUCGAGCGCAUCCUUCGGGGUGAGCGGCAGACGGGUGAGUAACACGUGGGAAUCUACCCAUCUCUACGGAAUAACUCAGGGAAACUUGUGCUAAUACCGUAUACGUCCUUAGGGGAGAAAGAUUUUAUCGGAGAUGGGAUGAGCCCGCGUUGGAUUAGCUAGUUGGUGGGGUAAAGGCCUACCAAGGCGACGAUCCAUAGCUGGUCUGAGAGGAUGAUCAGCCACAUUGGGACUGAGACACGGCCCAAACUCCUACGGGAGGCUG